AUAGCAUGUACACUGGAAUCUCAUUUGAAGAGAACAAAUCAGGAGGCAUUAUUGGAAAAUGUUAAGGUGGCCAUUCCUACAUUUCACUGCUAUGGACAUAAAGUAUCUUGUCAGGUGUCAUAUAGUGGCCGGAGAAUUAAUGGGUUUGGUCUAAGCGACGGUGAAGUGAUGGAGCGAAUGUGGUCUUACCUUAGGCCAACUUCAAAAAUCACCAAAGAAAUGACCCCGUCACACCGAGUUGAUGCUCUGACGGACUUUCUCUUACAUUAUAGAAAGAAAUCUUUAGGGCAAAUCGGCGAACGUUUGUGCGAUCAUUUGAAGAAAGCAUUGCACAUGAAAGCCGACACAAAUGAGCAGUUGAAUCUGCUCCUUGAAAAUCUUAGUAAAA